AUUGAACGCUGGCGGCAUGCCUUACACAUGCAAGUCGAACGGUAACGCGGGGCAACCUGGCGACGAGUGGCGAACGGGUGAGUAAUGCAUCAGAACGUGCCCAGUAGUGGGGGGAUAGCCCGGCGAAAGCCGGAUUAAUACCGCAUACGACCUACGGGUGAAAGCGGGGGACUCGCAAGAGCCUCGCGCUAUUGGAGCGGCCGAUGUCAGAUUAGGUAGUUGGUGGGGUAAAAGCCUACCAAGCCGACGAUCUGUAGCUGGUCUGAGAGGACGACCAGCCACACUGGGACUGAGACACGGCCCAGACUCCUACGGGAGGCAGCAGUGGGGAAUUUUGGACAAUGGGCGCAAGCCUGAUCCAGCCAUGCCGCGUGCGGGAAGAAGGCC
rnacentral:rRNA from 1 species